AGGAUGAACGCUAGCGGUGUGCUUAAUGCAUGCAAGUCGAACGGGAUCCCAUAGAUUCGCCUUUGGGUGAGAGUGGCGGACGGGUGAGUAACGCGUUGGUGACCUGCCUUGGAGAGGGGGACAACCAUUGGAAACGAUGGCUAAUACCCCGGAUGUUAUCGAGUUUAGAAGUCGAUAACUAAAGCUCCGGCGCUCCAAGAGGGGCCAGCGUCCCAUCAGCUAGUUGGUAAGGUACGGCUUACCAAGGCAUAGACGGGUAGGGGGCGUGAGAGCGUGACCCCCCACACUGGUACUGAAACACGGACCAGAUACCUACGGGUAGCAGCAGCAAGGAAUAUUGCGCAAUGGGCGAAAGCCUGACGCAGCAACACCGCGUGGAGGAUGAAGGCUUUCGGGUUGUAAACUCCUUUUCUGGGGGAAGAGAAAGGACGGUACCCCAGGAAUAAGGCCCGGCUAACUACGUGCCAGCAGCCGCGGUAAAACGUAGGGGCCAAGCGUUAUCCGGAAUUACUGGGCGUAAAGCGCAUUCAGGCGGUUUUCUAAGUUGGACGUGAAAGCUCUCGGCUUAACUGAGAGAGGUCGUUCAAUACUGGAAACUUGAGGAUGGUAGAGGAGAGUGGGAUUCCCGGUGUAGUGGUGAAAUGCGUAGAUAUCGGGAGGAACACCAGAGGCGAAGGCGGCUCUCUGGGCCAUUCCUGACGCUCAGAUGCGAAAGCUAGGGGAGAGAACGGGAUUAGAAACCCCGGUAUUCCUAGCCGUAAACGAUGUCAACUAGGUGUAUGAGGUACCCAAUCCUUAUGUGCUGUAGCUAACGCAUUAAGUUGACCGCCUGGGGACUACGGCCGCGAGGCUAAAACUCAAAGGAAUUGACGGGGCCCCGCACAAGCGGCGGAGCGUGUGGUUUAAUUCGAGAUACGCGAAGAACCUUACCAGGGCUUGACAUAUAUGUGGUAGUGAUCUGAAAAGUGAACGACCCUUCGGGGAGCAUAUACAGGUGCUGCAUGGCAGUCGUCAGCUCGUGCCGUGAGGUGUUCGGUUAAGUCCGAUAACGAGCGCAACCCUCGUCGUUAGUUAUAAGUGUCUAGCGAGACUGCCGGUGAUAAGCCGGAGGAAGGUGAGGAUGACGUCAAGUCAGCAUGGCCUUUAUGUCCUGGGCUACACACACGCUACAAUGGCCGGUACAGUGGGUCGCGGAGCCGCGAGGUGAAGCCAAUCCCCCAAAGCCGGUCUCAGUUCGGAUUACAGGCUGCAACUCGCCUGUAUGAAGUCGGAGUUGCUAGUAACCGCACGUCAGCACAGUGCGGUGAAUACGUUCCCGGGGCUUGUACACACCGCCCGUCACGUCAUGGAAGUUGGCAACGCCUGAAGUCGGUGGGUUAACCUAACGGAGACAGCCGCCCAAGGCGGGGUCGGUAACUGGGACGAAGUCGUAACAAGGUA
rnacentral:rRNA from 1 species